rnacentral:rRNA from 1 species
AUUGAACGCUGGCGGCAUGCCUUACACAUGCAAGUCGAACGGCAGCGCGGGAGCAAUCCUGGCGGCGAGUGGCGAACGGGUGAGUAAUAUAUCGGAACGUGCCCAGUAGUGGGGGAUAGCCCGGCGAAAGCCGGAUUAAUACCGCAUGAGACCUGAGGGUGAAAGCGGGGGAUCGCAAGACCUCGCGCUAUUGGAGCGGCCGAUAUCAGAUUAGCUAGUCGGCGGGGUAAAGGCCCACCAAGGCGACGAUCCGUAGCUGGUCUGAGAGGAUGAUCAGCCACACUGGAACUGAGACACGGUCCAAACUCCUACGGGAGGCAGCAGUGGGGAAUAUUGCACAAUGGGCGAAAGUCUGAUGCAGCAACGCCGCGUGAGCGAUGAAGG